rnacentral:rRNA from 1 species
AUUGAACGCUGGCGGCAGGCCUAACACAUGCAAGUCGAGCGAGCGUCGGACGGGUGAGUAAUGUAUGGGGACUGCCCGAUAUAGGGGGAUAACGACUGGAAACGGUAGCUAAUACCGCAUACGAUCGGAUAACCCAUAUGGGAUUAGCUCGUAGGUGGGGUAAUGGCUCACCUAGGCGACGAUCCCUAGCUGGUCUGAGAGGACGACCAGCCAAACUGGGACUGGGACACGGCCCAGACUCCUAGGGGGGAAGCAGUGGGGAAUUUUGGACAAUGGGGGAAACCCUGAUCCAGCCAUCCCGCGUGUAUGAUGAAGGCCUUCGGGUUGUAAAGUACUUUUGGCAGAGAAGCGGUAUUUGCAGAAUAAGCACCGGCUAACUACGUGCCAGCAGCCGCGGUAAUUC